rnacentral:rRNA from 1 species
GAUGAACGCUGGCGGCGUGCCUAAUACAUGCAAGUCGAGCGAACAGACGAGGAGCUUGCUCCUCUGACGUUAGCGGCGGACGGGUGAGUAACACGUGGAUAACCUACCUAUAAGACUGGGAUAACUUCGGGAAACCGGAGCUAAUACCGGAUAAUAUAUUGAACCGCAUGGUUCAAUAGUGAAAAACGGUUUUGCUGUCACUUAUAGAUGGAUCCGCGCCGCAUUAGCUAGUUGGUAAGGUAACGGCUUACCAAGGCAACGAUGCGUAGCCGACCUGAGAGGGUGAUCGGCCACACUGGAACUGAGACACGGUCCAGACUCCUACGGGAGGCAGCAGUAGGGAAUCUUCCGCAAUGGGCGAAAGCCUGACGGAGCAACGCCGCGUGAGUGAUGAAGGUCUUCGGAUCGUAAAACUCUGUUAUUAGGGAAGAACAAAUGUGUAAGUAACUAUGCACGUCUUGACGGUACCUAAUCAGAAAGCCACGGCUAACUACGUG